rnacentral:rRNA from 1 species
GGGUGGGGAUCAGCGGCGAACGGGUGAGUAACACGUGGGCAACCUGCCCUCAGCUCUGGGAUAACUCCGGGAAACCGGGGCUAAUACCGGAUACGACUUCCUGCGGCAUCUUGGGAAGUGGAAAGUUUUUCGGCUGAGGAUGGGCCCGCGGCCUAUCAGCUUGUUGGUGGGGUAAUGGCCCACCAAGGCGACGACGGGUAACCGGCCUGAGAGGGCGACCGGCCACACUGGGACUGAGACACGGCCCAG